rnacentral:rRNA from 1 species
GACGAAUGCUGGCUGCGUGCUUAACACAUGCAAGUCGAACGGUGAACAGGGGCUUGCCCCUGGGAUCAGUGGCGAACGGGUGAGUAACACGUGGGCAACCUGCCCCUCACUCUGGGAUAACUCCGGGAAACCGGGGCUAAUACCGGAUACGACCUGGUGCGACAUCGCACCGGGUGGAAAGAACUUCGGUGAGGGAUGGGCCCGCGGCCUAUCAGCUUGUUGGUGGGGUAACGGCCCACCAAGGCGACGACGGGUAGCCGGCCUGAGAGGGCGACCGGCCACACUGGGACUGGGACACGGCCCAGACUCCUACGGGAGGCAGCAGUGGGGAAGAUUGCGCAAUGGGCGAAAGCCUGACGCAGCGACGCAGCGUGAGGGACGAAGGCCUUCGGGUUGUAAACCUCUUUCAGCGGGGACGAAGCGCAAGUGACGGUACCCGCAGAAGAAGCACCGGCUAACUACGUGCCAGCCGCCGCAGUAA